GAAACAGGAUGUUCAGAAUGAGA
rnacentral:piRNA from 1 species